CGAGCACGCGCGUGUGGCAUAUUAAUAAGCGGAGGAAAAGAAACUAACAAGGAUUCCCUUAGUAACGGCGAGUGAAGCGGGAAGAGCUCAAAUUUGAAAUCUUCAAGGUUUUACCUUGACGAAUUGUAGUUUAAAGAAGUGUUUUCUGUUAGAGAGGUGGUAAAAGUUCUUUGGAAUAGGACAUCAUAGAGGGUGAGAAUCCCGUAUUUGAUCACCUUUCUACUAACGUUGUGAUACACUUUCAAAGAGUCGGAUUGUUUGGGAAUGCAGUCCAAAAUGGGUGGUAAAUUUCAUCUAAAGCUAAAUAUUGGCGAGAGACCGAUAGCGAACAAGUACCGUGAGGGAAAGAUGAAAAGAACUUUGAAAAGAGAGUUAAACAGUACGUGAAAUUGUCAAAAGGGAAGCGUUUGACACCAGUGUUGUUUUUCCGAAAAUCAAUUACGAAUGUUUUAUUUUUGAGGAGUUAUGACUUCAUCGGCUUGCUCCUUUCUUUACUGAAACUUUCUUAAUGCACUUUUCGGUUAACAAGUCAACAUCAAUUUCUUUUGUUGUAAAAGGGUAUGAGGAAGGUGGCUUUCUUUUCGGAGAAAGUGUUUAUAGCCUUGUGCCUCUGCAAUCGGAGAGAUUGAGGUCUGCAGCGUAGAUCCUUCGGGGUUAGAUACAGUUUGUGCUAAGUUAUAGCUUUUCAUAGACAACUUGUUGACUAUGUUUAGUCUUGUAGCUUACUCGCUGACGCUAUUUUACCUACGCUUAGGAUGUUGAUGUGAUACUGCGAGCA
rnacentral:rRNA from 1 species